GUUUUGAAUAAAAUUCCCGCCUAUUUGCAAAAUACGAGUCCACAAUCGUGUUGAAAAUGUUUGUCAGCGGUCGUUACUCGCUGCUUACUUUAUGUAAUUUUCUGUUUAAACGCCCCACGCAAGCCCCACGCACAGUUAACUACGUGAUUAGUUAACUAUCCGACUAACUACGUUUUGUGCAACGCAGUUAAGUCAUGUAGUUAACUAAUUACAGUUAAGGAUUUAACUACAGUGAUUAACACUAACUACAGUUAGCGCUAACUACGUUUUUAUACAACCGGCCCCUGCUGUAUACUUUGUGGUGUUUUCACAGCAUUACCUAUGAAAUGCCGGGGAUAACCAUUCAUUUUUAGAACAUUUCCUAAAUGUUCUAAUUCAUCGUCAAUGUUAUACUUAAUACCUCACAAAUUGUUUUCGCUCGGUUGAUAAGUGUCUUAUACACGGAGUUUUUCAUACUAGGAUGAUGAAAUGAAUUAUAAU